rnacentral:misc_RNA from 1 species
GCAGAUUGAGCCAUUUUCCAUUAGAAUCAUGAAAAGAAAAAAUAAAUAACGAAGAAAAGUAAAUGUCCUUUUUCUUUGGAAGUUUUGCUCGUUUCGUUUUCACUUUCACACGUCUCGUUAAUAAAUGCACAGGACCUUGGCUUUGCCCAGCAUCGUUGAGCUCGCAACUUCUAUGCAAUUUCUUCUCUCUAUGAUACGCCUUCUACGGCUAACAAUGAAUAGGUAAAACGGAAAGAAAAGAGGGAAGAUCAAAACACAAUUGAAUUGGUAAAAAAUGACAGUAGGAAUCAUUUCUUUGAAUUUUUUUCUAACUAUAGUGUCUGUAGCGAUUCUACACCGAUUUGGGUCUCUAAACCCUGAGGUUGCAGUCUGUGAACUCAGUUUUGUUGAUGGGCACAAGCUUUUCAACUUCAGUUUAACGUCUCCUAUCCCGAAAUUCCCUCAUGGUGUACUCAGCGAAGAUGGGUUUUACAAGGUGGCAGUGAACGAAUCUGUGCUUUGGUUUCAGGUUGGCUCUAUCAGGUUACACUUAAUUUCUUUAAUUUCCAUGUCAUGAUUGUGUUUAUUGUAAGCAGUUUGUUUUUAUUUUUGAGAGAUUAAAGUCCCAAUUGAAUUUAAUUUGAAAAUUGUAUAUUGUUGUCAUGUAUGAUAAUUGGAUUUUAAGGUAUAAGCUAGCUAUAUUUUCAUAUUGCAAUUCAACUCUACGAGCCAUCCAAAGGAAGAAAGAAAAGGAAUCCCAGUGAGAUUGUUAGAAGUGCGAUGUGAAAGCCACAAAGCUAUUUAUUUUUACUUUUAUUGUUAUUUUUUUAUAAUAACCUUUUAGAUGCCAUUAUGCACUUGUUGCCAAUUACUUUUAGUUGAUUUGCCAUUGAAUUUAUCUUAUUUGACUCUGUGGACCAGCUAUGCAAUGGAAUGAUUUUUAAUCACGAUCCACCUAGAUGUGUUGACUGCCAGGAUUGUGGGGGGCCAUUACAUUGUGGCAUGGAAUGUAGUGCACUUCUGGCAAACAACAUAGGAGGUAAAUAGCGUUGCAAAAAUGCCUGUCUUUGAGGCAUGUGCAUAUUUAUUUUUCAGAUAUUUUAAUGUACAUGGAUAAUUUCUUUAUGCUGUGUUUCUUUAGUUUAGGAGUGUCCAUGUUUCAAGUAGUUGUGGAGUGCAAUGAACUCAGAUGUCUAGAAUAUUUGAUUCCUGAACAGUGUUGAUCCUUUUUUAUCAUGUCAUAAAUUCUACCUAACUGAUAAGGCUUGUAUAUUUUUUAUUGCUAAUUUUCUAAUUAAUAUGCCUAAUUUAAAUUCUUGAAUGUAAGAAGUAUGCCUUGUAUAUUUGCAUUGUGCACUAAAAUAGAGAAUGUUGCUAAAAUUUUUUCCCAAGUCAAAUAAAUUGUUACAGCCUGAGCCUGCAAUUUAAUAGCAGAUGUCAAUCACAAAGGUAAAUGGCCCUCUCUAUCCAAACUUUUUCUGUAACAUUCAAGUUGAUCUCUCCGUAUUUCAUUCUUCAAAUAUAACUUUUUUUUCUUUUUGCCGAAACGGAAAAGUUCUUUUUGUCUCUUUCGUGUAGGCAGACUGACUAUAUUGUUGAUUAUGUAUGCAUAAUGGAGAACAUAAGUCCAUUGCUUAAAAAUAAAAUAAAAAAUAAAAUAAAAAAAUCUCAGCACUAUUAUCGGAUAUGGGAGUCACUGUAUCACUGUUUUCUUUCCUUCCUAUCAGAGCAUGACUGUCAUCUAUAUCAUUGUGUAAAUGUUAUCGUAAUUUACCAAAUUGUGAAGGAUUGGCAAUACACCAGAUCAUCUAAAUGCAUGACUGUCAUCUAAAUGCAUAUGUGCAUUUGCCAUCUCCUUGAUAAUACAUCAGAUCAACAUAUGCUUGCUUCCAUGUCAUGGCAACUGAAAAGCAGAUUUGUUACUUUAUUAUAUUGUUGUAUACAGGAAUUGUUCUCUAUCUAGAUCUAGUUAUGAUUUUAAAACACUGAAUCUUAAUGUGAUUAGUCAAUGCUUUAAUUUCUUAUUGUUGUUGUGUUGAUCCAAUGAUUGAUCUCCAAUCCCUCUAGUAAUAUCGCUCUGGAAAGGUUUAGUCAUCUACUUCUGGAACUGUUUGCAGCUGAAUUAGUCCAGAUUAAAAUCGUGUGAGACACAUCUUAGUUACUGAUAGAUUACCAUAAGUACUCAUUAAUAGGGCUGCCCCUAAACCUAAAUAGUAGAUAGUAUUGGAGAUUUAAAGUGAUGAAGUAUCAUCUGGUUGCAAUCUUUUUUUUU